UAUAAAAACCACAACUUUCUAACAUUUUAGUUAAUGUAUUUUCAGUUUCAUGUUACUUUGGUAUUCAAAAUGAUGGAAAAGCGGAAUUUUCUUGUUUUAUUGUUUUUCUCCACUCUUAAUCUGCAACUCAAUUAUUGCUCCCUAAUUCGGGGUAGUAGGAAAAGCUUUAUCGAUAUAUCAGGAAAGUGGUAUGAGCUUGCAAGUUCCGGAGCAACUACAGCAGGCAGGGAUUCAAGUGCCAACUUUAUACUUAAUGUGAAAAAAUCAGAAAAAGGGUGGAAAAUUUUCAUAGCGAACAGACUGCCUAAUCAACAUUUUCUGGACAACGAGGAGGAUAUUUUGAGGGCAACUCAGCAUGCAGGACAAAUUGGAAGCCUGCUCGAGUUUCAGGUUAACUCGUGGAGCUCAAAACUGGUACCGAAAUAUUGCGAGAAUCUAUCAACCUUGGUACUGGACAUCACAGAUGAUGUUUUAACGGUCUCUUUACAGUCUAAGAAUAACCAGCCUUUUCUGAGGAUAUUUAACAAUAAUUGCGAGAAAACUUGGAAAUUUUCAAGGGAUGCAAUUUCGAGCACUGACAUGCUACUUGAAGAAGAUAUGAAAUCUGAAAUGAAAGGUAUUCAACCUAUGCAGAGAAAGAGACAAACUGAUGAUGACGUCAUGAGUGCUGAUGAUGACAACCUAAACGCUGAAUCCUCGACACUGAAAAAUCGGCUAGUGAAUCUGGGCUCUGCUGAUGUCUUUGGAGACUCAGGGUACAGUGCUUUGUUCUGGUUCAUCAAAUGCAUCGAGGUAGCUACUAGUCAGUCUGACUUCGUAUUAUGCAAUGAAGAAUUCCGACAACUAAGUGGAAGGUCCAAGUGGAAAAAUUAGAUUCCUGAAUUGAUCAAAUGUUGGUUCAAUAUAAACUGAUUGAUUAAUCUUCUUGUUUCAAGUCAUGAGUUAUCUACAUACAAGAUUAUUAGUUU